CAGGGAGACAACAACUGAUCGUGAAGUCUAAGUUUUUUUCUUAGAUCAUGAUCCUGUCACCUUAGGUCGAUCGGUACCUCAGAUUUCCAAGCUGAAGUUAAUAGCUUUGGCCUGGUUAAUUUCAGUUCCUAAACUUGUCUAGGUCACACCCAGCAAGGGUACUCCUGGGCCAUUAGCUCAGGUGGUUAGAGCGCACCCCUGAUAAGGGUGAGGUCCCUGGUUCAAGUCCAGGAUGGCCCAUUCGGUGUUGGGGGUAUAGCUCAGUUGGUAGAGCGCCUGCUUUGCAAGCAGGAUGUCAGUGGUUCGAGUCCGCUUACCUCCACUGACUCACACUCCUAAUAGCCAAUUCAAGGAGAUUUCUUUUGCUAGUUGUGAUUUAUUUUGUUGCUGAAUGUACCUAGCUUCUUAUCAUUCCUAAAUCAAAAUUUUUUGAUUGGGUUGACAAGAUGCUGGGCUCACUUUAAUUCUUUUGAAUUUUUGUAAGUUCAGUAGAACCUUGAAAACUGCAUAGAGAGUCUGGAAAAAUAAAGCAUCUCAUGGAUGCAUUAUUUAUGUAUCAGAUUUCAAUCAUUGUUAAAGCAAUGAUUGAUUUGAUUCAAAUAAUAAUGAUUAAUUCUUGAGCAAGAGCCGAGACUCUAUUCUCUAAAUACUUUUAGUGAAUAGAGGUUAAUU
rnacentral:tRNA from 1 species